AGCAGUCGCCGCGGUAAUACGUAGGGUGCAAGCGUUAAUCGGAAUUACUGGGCGUAAAGCGUGCGCAGGCGGUUAUAUAAGACAGAUGUGAAAUCCCCGGGCUCAACCUGGGAACUGCAUUUGUGACUGUAUAGCUAGAGUACGGCAGAGGGGGAUGGAAUUCCGCGUGUAGCAGUGAAAUGCGUAGAUAUGCGGAGGAACACCGAUGGCGAAGGCAAUCCCCUGGGCCUGUACUGACGCUCAUGCACGAAAGCGUGGGGAGCAAACAGGAUUAGAUACCCCCGUAGUCCCUGUCUCUUAUAA
rnacentral:rRNA from 1 species